AGUGAACGCUGGCGGUAGGCCUAACACAUGCAAGUCGAACGGCAGCACAGUAAGAGCUUGCUCUUACGGGUGGCGAGUGGCGGACGGGUGAGGAAUACAUCGGAAUCUACUUUUUCGUGGGGGAUAACGUAGGGAAACUUACGCUAAUACCGCAUACGACCUACGGGUGAAAGCAGGGGAAUCUUCGGACCUUGCGCGAUUGAAUGAGCCGAUGUCGGAUUAGCUAGUUGGCGGGGUAAAGGCCCACCAAGGCGACGAUCCGUAGCUGGUCUGAGAGGAUGAUCAGCCACACUGGAACUGAGACACGGUCCAGACUCCUACGGGAGGCAGCAGUGGGGAAUAUUGGGCAAUGGGGGCAAGCCUGAUCCAGCCAUACCGCGUGGGUGAAGAAGGCCUUCGGGUUGUAAAGCCCUUUUGUUGGGAAAGAAAAGCAGCAGGUUAAUACCCCGCUGUUCUGACGGUACCCAAAGAAUAAGCACCGGCUAACUUCGUG
rnacentral:rRNA from 1 species